rnacentral:rRNA from 1 species
UCCUGCGACCCCGGAAGAGAUUGCGGGGUGCCUUGGGGAGCGCAGAGACAGGUGCUGCAUGGCUGUCGUCAGCUCGUGUUGUGAAAUGUUGGGUUAAGUCCCGUAACGAGCGCAACCCUUGUCCCUAUUUGCCAGCGAUUCGGUCGGGAACUUUAGGGAGACUGCCGGUGACAAACCGGAGGAAGGUGGGGACGACGUCAAGUCAUCAUGGCCCUUACGGGUAGGGCUACACACGUGCUACAAUGGCCGGUACAAAGGGUUGCGAAGCCGCGAGGUGAAGCCAAUCCCAGAAAGCCGGCCUCAGUCCGGAUUGGAGUGUGCAACUCGACUCCAUGAAGUCGGAAUCGCUAGUAAUCGUGCAUCAGAAUGGCACGGUGAAUACGUUCCCGGGCCUUGUACACACCGCCCGUCACACCAUGGGAGUGGACUGCACCAGAAGUGGUUAGCCUAACUCCGGAGGGCGAUCAU